rnacentral:rRNA from 1 species
GGAAUUUUGCGCAAUGGGCGCAAGCCUGACGCAGCAACGCCGCGUGGAGGAUGAAGGUUUUCGGAUUGUAAACUCCUGUCCCGGGGGAAGAAGGCAGUGACGGUACCCUGGGAGGAAGCCCCGGCUAACUCCGUGCCAGCAGCCGCGGUAAUACGGGGGGGCGAGCGUUGUUCGGAAUAACUGGGCGUAAAGGGCGCGUAGGCGGCCUGGGCAGUCCUGGGUGAAAGCCCCCGGCUCAACCGGGGAAGGGCCUGGGAAACCACUGGGCUGGAGUGCUGGAGAGGGAGGCGGAAUUCCUGGUGUAGCGGUGAAAUGCGUAGAGAUCAGGAGGAACAUCGGCGGCGAAGGCGGCCUUCUGGACAGACACUGACGCUGAGGCGCGAAAGCCGGGGGAGCAAACAG